UACAGAGGUCUCAAGCGUUGUUCGGAAUUACUGGGCGUAAAGAGUGCGCAGGCCGCGCGGGCAGUCAAAUGUGUAAUUCAGGGGCUCAACCCCUGCACUGCGCUUGAUACUUCCGCGCUCGAGCUUUGGAGAGGAGUCUGGAAUUCUCGGUGUAGCAGUGAAAUGCGUGGAUAUCGAGAAGAACACUUAGGGCGAAGGCAAGACUCUGGACAAAUGCUGACGCUCAUGCACGAAGGCUAGGGUAGCGAACGGG
rnacentral:rRNA from 1 species